rnacentral:rRNA from 1 species
CGUGUAGGCGGCUUGAGAAGUCUGGUUUGAAAUGCACUGGCUCAACUGGUGCGCUGGGUCAGAAACUGGCAGGCUAGAGUUCAUGGGGAGGAGCUGGAAUUCCAGGUGUAGGGGUGAAAUCUGUAGAGAUCUGGAAGAACACCGGUAGCGAAGGCGGGCUCCUAUGGAUGGACUGACGCUGAGGCGCGAAAGCGUGGGGAGCAAACAGGAUUAGAUACCCUGGUAGUCCACGCUGUAAACGAUGUGCACUAGGUAUGGGGUACGAGAGGUACUCCGUGCCGGAGCGAACGCGUUAAGUGCACCGCCUGGGGAGUAUGCUCGCAAGGGUGAA